AGUUCAGGGAGGUAGUGACAAUAAAUACCUUACAGAGGUCUCGUUAACCGUGAUCUCUCAAACGGAAUGAGUACAACGUGAAUCCUUUAACGAGGAUCGACUGGAGGGCAAGCCUGGUGCCAGCAGCCGCGGUAAUUCCAGCUCCAGUAGCGUAUAUUAAAGCUGUUGCGGUUAAAAAGCUCGUAGUUGGAUAUCAGUGCGUGUCCGGUCCGGUAUGCCCGGCGUUGGCCUUCGCGCGUCGUCGCUGGGCUCCCAAAUAUCGGCUGGCCGCAUUCAAUGGUGCCGGAUCCGUCGCCGGGCCGUUCUUCGGAGGGGCCUGCUGGCGACCGGCGACGUUACCUUGAACAAAUUAGAGUGCUCAAAGCAGGCUCUGAAUGCCUGUAUACAUAUUCAUGGAAUUGGAGAAUACGUCCCUGGCUCGAUUUGGUUGGUUUUGAGAGUCGAAGGGAAAUGAUUAAUAGGGACUGACGGAGGCAUUCGUAUUGCGACGCGAGGGGUGAAAUCCUGUGACCGUCGCACGACGAACUACUGCGAAAGCAUUUGCCGAGAAUG
rnacentral:rRNA from 1 species